UCCCUGGUAGUCCAGUGGUUAGGAUUCUGCACUCUCAUUGGUGAGGGCCCAGGUUCAAUCCCUGGUCGGGGAA